AAUGAACGCUGGCGGCGUGCUUAACACAUGCAAGUCGCACGAGAACGCUUCAGCUUGCUGAAGCCAGUAAAGUGGCGCACGGGUGAGUAACGCGUGGGUAAUCAGCCUCUGAAUCGGGGAUAACAUUGCGAAAGCGAUGCUUAAUACCGGAUAAUAUCCAUUUAACCUCGGUUGGAUGGAUCAAAGGUGGCCUCUACAUGUAAGCUACUGUUUGGAGACGAGCCCGCGUACCAUUAGCUUGUUGGUAGGGUAACGGCCUACCAAGGCAACGAUGGUUAGCUGGUCUGAGAGGAUGAUCAGCCACACUGGAACUGACACACGGUCCAGACUCCUACGGGAGGCUG
rnacentral:rRNA from 1 species